rnacentral:misc_RNA from 1 species
CAAGUAAUAAGUACUCUGUACUCAUUAUAAACCCAUCUGUGUAUCUUACCCGUUGCUUCCGUGGCGCGCGACCGCCUCGGCUCCGGCUCUGGUGGCCCCCACGGGAGGUAUACAUCAAACCACUGCAUUGCCAUGAUCUCAGUCUGAAAUGUAAACAUGAAAAGUUA